UACGAGUGCCCCAAGCGUUAUCCGGAAUUAUUGGGUGUAAAGGGUGUGUAGGCGGUCUUGUUAGUCGUGUGUUAAAUCUCUGGGCCUAACCCAGAACUCGCACGCGAUACGGCAAGACUAGAAGAUGCGAGAGGUCUGUAGAACUCAUAGUGUAGGGGUGAAAUCCGUUGAUAUUAUGGGGAAUACCAAAAGCGAAGGCGAGCAGACUGGGCGCACUCUUGACGUUGAAACACGAAAGCGUGGGUAGCGAACUGG
rnacentral:rRNA from 1 species